UACGUAGGUGGCAAGCGUUGUCCGGAUUUACUGGGUGUAAAGGGCGUGCAGCCGGAGAGACAAGUCAGAUGUGAAAUCCACGGGCUCAACCCGUGAACUGCAUUUGAAACUGUUUCCCUUGAGUGUCGGAGAGGUAAUCGGAAUUCCUUGUGUAGCGGUGAAAUGCGUAGAUAUAAGGAAGAACACCAGUGGCGAAGGCGGAUUACUGGACGAUAACUGACGGUGAGGUGCGAAAGCGUGGGUAGCAAACAGG
rnacentral:rRNA from 1 species